rnacentral:rRNA from 1 species
UACGAAGGGGGCUAGCGUUGUUCGGAAUAACUGGGCGUAAAGCGCACGUAGGCGGAUUUGUAAGUCAGGGGUGAAAUCCCGGGGCUCAACCUCGGAAUUGCCUUUGAUACUGCAAGUCUGGAGUCCUGAAGAGGUGAGUGGAAUUCCUAGUGUAGAGGUGAAAUUCGUAGAUAUUAGGAGGAACACCAGUGGCGAAGGCGGCUCGCUGGACUGGUACUGACGCUGAGGUGCGAAAGCGUGGGGAGCAAACAGG